AACAACUCACCUGCCGAAUGAAUUAGCCCUGAAAAUGGAUGACGCUAAAGCGUGCAGCCGACACCGUGCCGUUUGGGCAAACAGAUUGAUAUCCAAAUGAGUAGGAGGGACGUGGCGGUUGUAUAGAAGCGUGUGCGCGAGCAUUUGUGGAACGGCCGUUAGUGCAGAUCUUGGUGGUAGUAGCAAAUAUUCAAAUGAAAUCCUUGAAGGGCGAAGCGGGGAAGGGUUCCACGCGAACAUUGAUUGAGCGCGGGUGAGUCGUCCCUAAGCCGUCUGGCAAUAGCUAGUGACCGGCGAAAGGGAAGCAGGUUGAUAUUCCUGCACACGGAUGUAGAUGGGGUGACCCACGUAGGGGCGGUAACGUCGGCGGUACGCACUGGGCAGAGAUUUCUUUUCUGUUUGACAUGCAGGCUGUACUCUGUGGAAUCCGCUUGUCGGGAGAAACAGGUAUGCCUUGGCAAAGCGCCGGGAUUUUUCUGGCGUCCAGUUUGCGACCGUCGGCCCUUGAAAAACCGUCUGCUGGCUCGGAUUUAUUUCUGAGUGGAAAAUUUCUACGCCGUAACGUACCGAUCACCGCAUCAGGUCCCCAAGGUGAACAGCCUCUGCUCGAUAUGAAUAAU
rnacentral:rRNA from 1 species